UAUGAUAUCUUUAGUUAUAUUUUUAGAAUCGCAGAUAUCUAAAUAAAGUUAAUUGUAAAAAUAUACGUAUACUUUUCCAGAUGUAGGCUCAUUGAAAGUUGGAAUAAAAGAUGUCAAUGCCAGCUCUUCUAAUCUAGACCCCGUAUGGGUUAUGUCAGGUAACCAAGGGGAUACCUGGCAUAAAGGAUCUCUAGAAAUCGGAGCAAGGACCUCCCGUUUCCAGAUUUUAAUUACCGGGACUCGUGGGGAUGACCGUCGCGGGAACAUUGCAAUUGAUGACGUUUCCAUCACCAACUGUACAUAUGGUAAACAAAACACUUAUUUCUUUGUCUGCAUUUUAGCAUAAGGCACAUAACUAGUAAUCUUAAAAACGUUAUACUUCAAACAUAUAGAGGUUCUAAUAGUUCACAAACAGGGGCAUCUGAUCUGAUCAGUGUUCUCUACUCUCCAUAUGAAAUACAGUCCAGGGAAGAAUCGAAAGUAGCACACGAACUGUAAACAAAAUAGAAAAAAACAACUUACUUGGAAAAGUUGCAUACAUCCUCAUAUGCACUAGCGAAAAUGAUAUCCUAGUACUUAUCCAAGCUAAAAUAUUCAAAAAUAUAACCAACGUACAUAGCUUUUAUCCAACUAAAACCCCAGCUUUCUGCACAGUUUGAAACUCUUUACCCCAUAAAAAAAUUCGGCCAAAAUAAAA